rnacentral:rRNA from 1 species
GACGAACGCUGGCGGCGUGCUUAACACAUGCAAGUCGAACGGAAAGGCCCUGCUUUUGUGGGGUGCUCGAGUGGCGAACGGGUGAGUAACACGUGAGUAACCUGCCCUUGACUUUGGGAUAACUUCAGGUAACUGGGGCUAAUACCGGAUAGGUGCUCCUGCUUCAUGGUGGGGGUUGGAUAGUUUCGGCGGUUGGGGAUGGACUCGCGGGUUAUCUGCUUGUUGGUGGGGUAGUGGCUUACUAAGGCCUCGGCGGGUAGCCGGCCUGUGAGGGUGAACGGCCACAUUGGGACUGAGAGACGGCGCAGACGCCUACGGGAGGCAGCAGUGGGGAAUAUUGCGCAAUGGGCGGAAGCCUGAGGCAGCGACGCCGCGUGCGGGAUGACGGCCUUCGGGUUGUAAACCGCUUUCGCCUGUGACGAAGCGUAAGUGACGGUAAUGGGUAAAGAAGCACCGGCUAACUACGUG